CUCUUCUUGUUUGUUUAUUUGAAGUAUGGCCUGCCCACUGAUUUUAUUAAAGGGCCGCGGUAUUUUGACCGUGCAAAGGUAGCAUAAUCAUUAGUUCUUUAAUUGUGAGCUGGUAUGAAUGGUUUGACGAGAUAUUUACUGUCUUUGGUUUAAGAUUUAUUGAACUUAGUGUUUGGGUAAAAAUACCUAAAUUUUUUUAUGGGACGAGAAGACCCUAUAGAGUUUUAUAUAGUAAAUAUUCUCUUGGUUUGUUGUAUUUUAGAGUAUUUGUUGUAUUUUGUUGGGGUGAUGGGAGGAUAUAUGUAACUCUUCUUUUUUAUUUUCACUUAUUUGUGUUUUUGUGAUCCUUUAUUAUUGAUUAAAAGAUCAAACUACCUUAGGGAUAACAGCGUAA
rnacentral:rRNA from 1 species